AUGAAGGCCAUGAAAGCAGCAUUUCUCAUUGUGUCUCAUUUGCUGCACCAGCUAGUUUGCAUUGACACAGCAAGAUCUACAGACUGCAUUUCGCACAUGGACGCUUGUGUUUCUCCACACGUCUGCAAAAGUGAACAGGCUGUUCUCAGAAAUAUCUGUCAUUUUAAAGAUGGAGACUGCCACAUGACUGACGCAAAGGUCUGUAAGGCCACUCUUCAGAUGAUGUUAAGCCGCUCACCUGCAUUGGGACAGUGUGUUUGUUCUGGGACAGAUCCAUGCAGCACUCUACAACAGCUGUACUCUCAGUGCCAGCAUCAUUGGGUACAUCACACCAACCGAUCCUGUCUUGAAGCAGGCAGAUAUUUAGCAGGUACCUGUCCAAAUGUUUUGGGGUAA
rnacentral:lncRNA from 1 species